ACUCCCCGGCCAAGGACACUGGGAGGAAACAGAGAGGCUGGGAACAACCUCGAUGUCUUGGUCAAGGCGCGGGUCUGCGGCGGGGUGAACGCGCAAAGGGGGAGACAGCAGGCAAAAGGUGAACCGGAGGAAGCCGGAGCCCGCGGCGGCGGCGGGGCUGGAGCUGACCGGGCGAGGAAACCCGAGGAGAGGCCCUUCCCUUCCUGCUGCUGCUCAUCACCCUGGGUGGGGAUCCCAGUCUUCCUGACCUGCAUGGGAGGUAAUUCAGUCUGUUGAAAUAAAAGAGCUUGAAGAGAACUCUAAAGCUCUUUUCUCAGAAAGAUUGGGAGGAUGUCAAGACAGAUCUUGGUUCAAGUCCUGACUCUGCUUCUUACUAUUUGAGACCUUAGCUUUCUUAUCUGCAAAAAAAGUACGGGGUAGGGGAGAAGAGGAUAAUAUUGGUAACAUGUAAAGAGUUACAGUGAUUAACUGGAAUAAUGUGUGUAAAGCAUUUACAUGGAAGUGUUGUUGUUGCUAUUAUUGUUAUUACCUGCAGGCUUAUAGGUGA
rnacentral:lncRNA from 1 species